rnacentral:lncRNA from 1 species
AAUGGCCUGAUGGUUGUGGUUUUUAAAAGUACAUAUUUCAAAAAGGAGGAAAAUCCCUGUGCUUGAGGAAGAUGGCAUGCAACGAGGGGAGGUUUCAGAGAGAAUGCAGAUGUUCUUAACUGCUAUUUUCAUCUGUCUCCCUAUCAGGAAGAAAUGCCAUCAAACCAGAAUGGAGAAAAUUGAAGGUCAAGAUAGGAGAGCAGAUAGUGGAAAACUACUUUAACCAAAUAUACAAAUUGGACUCUACCUCCCUUUUGGCUGGAACGUGAAGAGAAAAUUUACAUUCCAUAGGAGGCCACUGUUCAAAUAUUGCUCAUAUCUGCUGACACAUUUUGACAACGAAGUUUGCCAUAUCUGCAACCAGGACAAAGACUGCUUACGGCUCGUUCAAACAGUCUUCUCACUCUCUCCAACAAAUGCUACCUCGCACAGCCCACUGAGACUGUGGGCCCUCUUGGUUGCAUGGUUUUCUAUGCCGCUGUCCUCAGAAUCUGCCUCUACUUUAUUCUACCCAUUAGUUGUAAUGACACCCCAGCUCCUCCCCACAAACGGCUCCCAACAUUGCCAGGCAAAACCCACUUCAGCCCUUGAGCUCCAUCAGUACCUUCCCUGGCUCAGGUCCCUGCCCUGACUCAGCCAGGUUUUAACUCUCAGAGCAUCUUGCCAGCUCAUGGCCCGCUGUCAGUCCCCUCAGAGCUCUAAGAACAGGGCUGGUAAUUCCUUUCUCUCCUUCCACCAAGUGUCUACUUGUUCCAACAUCUUAAUCCCAUGUAUCCAUGUGCAUAAAUAUAUGUGUACUUCCCAUCAGUAUGAGAUCUCACAGGGAUGAAUGUCAAGUCUGCACUGUUUGAAAAUUCAAUUCCACCAGGACAGAAUGGGGGAGACUUGUCUUGACAAGAUUCUAUACUGAGCUUUUGGGCUAAUUUUCCUAAGACCAAUUUGCCUAAAGUCAAUUUGCUUAAAAUCUCAACUGUUGAAAAUUAUCUCAAGAGCACAUUUGUGGUUCUUAAGGAUAAAAUCACUCUAUCUCUGUAAAACAUUUUGAAUGUUGGAUGAUUCCUCCUAUUUUACCUAUUUUUAAUAUUUUAUGAAUUAGCAAGCAAAGGAACUUCUACU